GCCUGGAAAAGAAUCUCGAGCUCAAAUGGGAUCACAGCCCCAGCCAGCACCUUGAUUGCAGCCUGGUCAAACCUUAAGCAGAGGACUCUGCUAAGCCAUGCCCGGACUCCUGACCCACAGAACCUAUGAGAUAAUAAGUGUGGGUUGUUUUAAGCAGCUAAGUUUGUGGUAAUACGUUAUACAACAAUAGGAAACCGUGAAGAACCAUGGCUCUUCAAAAGGAGAUGGGACCAUCUACUUGCAGGAAAACAAGCUCAGGGCUCCCAUUGAUUCCACAUUAAGUAGCUCUGGUGGCCUUUACCUCAGGCUUUGAUGACAGACAGAGAAACCAACAAUUUAACCUGAUGCCUGCCUCUCCCCACGCCAGUGCUGAGGAGCUCCUGCAGAGAAAGCCUGCUCUUCCAGCCCUUGUACUCAGGACAGGUGCCGGGUGGUCCCUCAAGACCCUUUUUCAGCAGUAAAUCCUAGCUGCUUUCACUGAGUUCUCACUAGGUUUAUUUGGUUUAAUCUUGGUUGUCUGAGGUUCCACAACUCAUAACUGAUUUUGUGUUCUAUUUCUGGCCAGCAACUUCCUUGAGAUUAUGGAAACUUGAGUUGGGUGGAGUUGUCAGAUUUGAUUUAUUGGCUAUUUUGUUUCUCUUGAAUACGACAGGAGAAGGGAAGCAACUGCUCAUAUCUCCUUGGUUUACCUUCAUACAUAUUAGGGCAUAGUCAUGGGUAAGUAGGUCUUUCAGCAGUAAAAGGAACUCCUGUGUCUGUCCUGAGUUAAGCACAGUGACUAUGAUUUUGACACAGGUAGUACCUCCCACCCACCCUUAUAAGAACCAAGGCUUCUGAUAUGUAGGCUUAUUACAGCCCUAGCUGCUGUGCCUAUAUGUAAAGUGUCAGACUUUCAUUUACACUAAAUGUAUUUCAGAAUUAUAGAAGCGCCUUCAGAGAAAUCUUAAUUCAACAUGGUUUUAACAUUUAUAUGGAGUGACAGAAGAAAAACAAAACUUUAAUUUUCCAUUAGUCAAUUUUUUCAGUUGGUCACCAAAUCUGGCAUUCUGUGUAUACAUUAGGAAUAUUUAGCCUGAGAAGAAAUUUUAACACAAAAUAUUACCAGGUUAAUGAAUUUAUUUAUAAAGUAUUUUAAAUCUAAGGUGCUCCUGCACUGAUAGGUUUAUAGAGACUAAUGGGCACUGACACAAAUUUAAAAUUUAAAAACUCGAG